rnacentral:rRNA from 1 species
GAUGAACGCUGGCGGCGUGCCUAAUACAUGCAAGUCGAGCGAACGGACGAGAAGCUUGCUUCUCUGAUGUUAGCGGCGGACGGGUGAGUAACACGUGGAUAACCUACCUAUAAGACUGGGAUAACUUCGGGAAACCGGAGCUAAUACCGGAUAAUAUUUUGAACCGCAUGGUUCAAAAGCAAAAGACGGUCUUGCUGUCACUUAUAGAUGGAUCCGCGCUGCAUUAGCUAGUUGGUAAGGUAACGGCUUACCAAGGCAACGAUGCAUAGCCGACCUGAGAGGGUGAUCGGCCACACUGGAACUUAGACACGGUCCAGACUCCUACGGGAGGCAGCAGUAGGGAAUCUUCCGCAAUGGGCGAAAGCCUGACGGAGCAACGCCGCGUGAGUGAUGAAGGUCUUCGGAUCGUAAAACUCUGUUAUUAGGGAAGAACAUAUGUGUAAGUAACUGUGCACAUCUUGACGGUACCUAAUCAGAAAGCCACGGCUAACUACGUG